UGGAAGUAAAAGUCGUAACAAGGUCUCCGUUGGUGAACCAGCGGAGGGAUCAUUAAUGA
rnacentral:rRNA from 1 species